GAUAAAGUCAGGGACAUUGAAUCUCCUCUGUUGAGCCAUUGUUAUCAUCCCUGGCCAUCUGCUGCCGAGGAGUGAUACUCCAUCUCAUUUGCAUGAUGACUGAUAUAUGGGAGGUUUGGAAGGACAUAUGCCACGGCAAUCAUGUGAUGAAAAUUAAAGUGAAAGUUUUGGGCCCAGAGCCGAAAAAAAAUCUGUGUAUGCGCAUGAGGCUGUUGAUGUGCAAAUGUGAGUCAUAUUGAGAAGGUCUGAAUAGGGAGGUGUGACGUAAAGAGGGGACACAAGGCAGGUGCUUAUCUCUCGGCAGUCAAAGGCACUGGAUGUCAUAUCAUGGGAACUACCUUCCAAAGAAACAGCUUUAGUGUUUCCGUUCAGCACACAAGGGAGGAGAGAAAUAUAAGUUUUGGAAACGAACAAAAAAAGCCCUCAAUUUUGUGAGAUUCCUUGAAAGAUUGUGAAAAGUCCAUUUUACGUGGCUGUGUGCUCAUACCAAGUCUAAGGAAACUAGACCUGAGAGUGAUGUUUGGAGUUUGAAUUAACGCCCAACUUCUGAGAGGAGGCUGCUGGGCAUUUGCACCGGACCAGUCCCACUGGAUCUACAGUUGCUGAUUUGAGUUGAAGAAGCAUCUGCUUAAUGUCUGGUCAGAACUUUCAAGUAACGCAGAAAUCCAUGGUUAAAAAGCUGGAUUCUCCAACUUACUGCAAAGGGUAAACACGGACCCUAGAACUCAUCUGCCAGGAAGAAUGAAUUGCAGGAUUUCUCACUAAAGCAAACACAGGUGUUCAUUCAUUCUGACGGAGGGGGGCUCACCGAGUCAGCGUACAAGUUACCUGGAGGAAGAGGGGCUGAACCUUUGCCCACAGCAUCGGAGGCAUGGAGUCUUAACCACAGGACCACCAGGGAAGUCCUUACAUUUAUUUUCUGAAUUACUCUCCCUGAGAAAUAAGUAAAUGUAUGAAAAGAGAACCAGGAAAAUAAAAGGAGGAUAAGAACAGAGGAAAAAUAUGCUUGAUCAUUCAAUCUUGGUUUCCUUCUCAAUGUGGCAACUGUGUUUUUAGGAUCACAGUUCAUUUCCCCAUCUUUCCCUUGUACCACAGGGAAGCAUCUUCUGCUGCCAUUUUCAGUCGAUUCAAAGCUCUGUUGAAAACAAAAUGAUGCCAGAAUCAUCAAAAGGAAGGGCACUCAGUGUAGGGUUCUUUGUUCUUCGAUCUGGCCAAGUUUUGUCCCAAGGAAGCAUCCGCUGAGGAUGGGGGACUCCUGGUGGGGAGGACCCCUGGACCUCCUCUCAGCAGGCACGGGACUAACUUCUUCUCGCCAUCACCAUGAGCUUCUCAGGAAUGGAAGAGUCAUGUGACACAACAGACAGCCUGCUUUGUCGGUUUACAACUCCCAGGAGAGGAACACUAUGAAAUCUUCUUUAAAGUGGGAUUUAUUGUAAGUCAACUGCAGUGAAAGACUUCUCAAAUUAAAAGUAGCUACUGGCGUGAAAUUAUAUGUAACUAGACAGGGCUUCCCUGGUGGCUUAGAUGGUAAAAAAUCUGCAUUCCAUGCAGAAGACCUGGUUUGAUCCUUGGGUUGGGAAGAUCCCCUGGAGGAGGGCAGGGCAACCCAUUCCAGCAUUUUUGCCUGGAGAAUUCCUUGGACAGAGGAGCCUGAGGGGCUAUAGUCCACAGGGUCACAAAGAGUCGGACACGAUUAUGCAACUAACACUUUCACCUUCAGACAAGAUUACAAUUAAUUGUGUAAGGAUUUUGAGAGUGUCCUCAAAAUGUUAUGAUCACCAUGGCUUUUCUACUAAUAUUAAGAAAUUCGCGACUACUUAUAAAUCUAUAUCAAGGAUGACAAUGGAUAGAAUUCUGUUGAAAGGAGAAAUAACGCUUAAAGAUUACCAAGAGAUUCGUUUUACCCAAAUCUUAAGAAGUGAUUAAAUAUUUACUUAGAGGUUGUUUUUGUGGACAAAUAAUUUUGUUUAACCAUUGAUCAAAAUAGAGUUUUAAGUGAAAAAUAAAAGGGAACUAAAUCUCCUCACAAACAAGUCAUUUGCAUGUGUGAUGGGAGCAAAACUGAG
ensembl:lncRNA